rnacentral:rRNA from 1 species
GAUCAUGGCUCAGGAUGAACGCUGGCGGCGUGCUUAACACAUGCAAGUCUAACGGGAAACAUUUCAUUGAGGCUUCGGCGGAUUUGGUCUGUUUCUAGUGGCGGACGGGUGAGUAACGCGUGGGUAACCUGCCUUAUACUGGGGGAUAACAGCCAGAAAUGGCUGCUAAUACCGCAUAAGCGCACGGGACCGCAUGGUCCUGUGUGAAAAACUCCGGUGGUAUAAGAUGGACCCGCGUUGGAUUAG